UACGGAGGGUGCAAGCGUUAAUCGGAAUUACUGGGCGUAAAGCGUGCGCAGGCGGUUUUGUAAGUCUGACGUGAAAUCCCCGGGCUCAACCUGGGAAUUGCGUUGGAGACUGCAAGGCUUGAAUCUGGCAGAGGGGGGUAGAAUUCCACGUGUAGCAGUGAAAUGCGUAGAGAUGUGGAGGAACACCGAUGGCGAAGGCAGCCCCCUGGGUCAAGAUUGACGCUCAUGCACGAAAGCGUGGGGAGCAAACAGG
rnacentral:rRNA from 1 species